rnacentral:rRNA from 1 species
UACGUAGGGGGCAAGCGUUGUCCGGAAUCAUUGGGCGUAAAGAGCGCGUAGGCGGUCCGGUAAGUCAGCUGUGAAAGUCAGGGGCUCAACCCUUGAAAGCCGGUUGAUACUGUCGGGCUAGAGUCCGGAAGAGGCGAGUGGAAUUCCCGGUGUAGCGGUGAAAUGCACAGAUAUCGGGAGGAACACCAAUGGCGAAGGCAGCUCGCUGGGACGGUACUGACGCUGAGGCGCGAAAGCGUGGGGAGCAAACAGG